ACUUCUGACCCCGCACACCAACCCGAUGGAAGUAGUGAAGACAGUAGGGACGCACAGCACAGUGACUGAAGCCUGAAACCCUGAGGCUCAGUAAAACUUCAAUUCCUAGAAGCCUAAGGCAAUCGAAUGUUCUCGAAAUAGACCUUCCAGAAUCAAUGCAAUUUUCGGUUCAGCUUUUAGAUGCGUAUAAGAUACUCUUUCUUUGCUGUGGGAUUUUUCUGGUGCUUGAGAUCUUCUUUCCCGAGCGUUCUCCUUGCAGAGAUCUUUUGAUAUGGAGCGGCGUGCACGCAGCCCCUAGGUUGGGCGCUGAGGGGCAUCGCUGAUGCGAUCCACGUGCCUCCCCGUCCUCAGGCCGCUUCCUUUCCUGGUUUCCAGGUCCUCGUUUCUCCCAGCGCUGCCCUCCCCAUCUAAGCCCAAGUCGCCGUGAGCCCGCGCUGCCCCCUUGUGGCCAAAGCCCUCCCCAGCUCAGGAAACGGGAACGCUUGGCGGCCAGGCUGAGAGUCGGUGCGCGUGACCCGGCUUCUGCUCGCAGCAUCCAAGAAGUUGCAAUAACGUGGAAGGAUGGGGAACGGCGCCUCCCUGGCUAGCGUGAAACUCAGCCACAGCACAAAAUUGAGGCUGUUGGCCGUGAGCGGCUCUCAAAGCUGAAUUUGAGGUAAGAAGUCGCCUGCCAACAGGGCAUGCGCAAAUCUCACCAUGUAGAGUGAGUGGCUUUCCGGCAGCUUCUCCCCUCCAGGCGGCCACCUGGCCCCACACUCCUCAGGUGCAGGGCCGAGGAAGGGAGGGGUCCAGCUGAGCUCUGAGCGUCCCAGGGGAUACAGCACCUGACCACCACUCAGAAAGCCCCCCCAAAAAUACAAAGACAGAGAAUUGAAGACAGAUGCCACCUCACUUGACUAGUGGGGAUUGGGUGGGGAUAGCCCAACAUCGGCAGAGCCAACCUGGCCACCUACAUGGGAGGGUCCCCGGGGUAAGAUGUGGCUUUGUGACCUAAGGAAGGCGGGUAGGUCGGGCUGACGGGGGAGAGGGGCCAGUGAAGCCCCCAUCCCUAGGGACACAGUUCAGCUGAAGGAAUCUCACUCUGGGCCUUCACAGGGUUAGCAUCCUGUCGGCCCCUGCGCGGGGCCGGGGGGGCGGGGAUUCAGGUGGCCCCUGGUGGCAGCUGUCUUAACCCAGGCGAGGCACACAGGAGGACACCAAGCCCUGGUCUCCAACCUCAACCCUGCACAGCCUGCUAGUCCCACGCUAAAGUGAUUGAGGAAUGGCACAGAGACGGGAGCGAACCCCCAGGGAGGCACCAGGCGAGUUGCCGGAAAGGAAGAGUUCGCUACAGGACAGACAGGUGGUUUCAAACUGGAAGGGAUGUCUCCGAGUCCCCUGCGAGAAAGAUCUUAUCCUUAGGUCUGCGGUUACUAGUUACGUUACGUUACGUUACGUUACGUUACGUUACGUUACGUUACGUUACGUUACUUUUUGAGAACAAGUCUCACUCUGUUGCCGAGGCUGGAGUGCUUUGGUGUGACCCUGGCUCACUGCAACCUCCGCCUCCCGGAUUCAAGCAGUUCUCCUGCCUCAGCCUCCCAAGCAGCCGGGAUCACAGGCGCCCGCCACCAUGCUCAGCUAACUUUUGUAUUUUUAGUACAGACGGGGUUUCACCAUGUUGGUCAGUCUGGUCUCGAAUUCCUGACCUCAAGUGAUCCACCCGCCUCAGCCUCCCAAAGUGCUGAGAUUAUAGUCGUGAGCCACCGUGCCUGGCCAGGUUUGCGGUUACUAGAAUGAGGCAAAAGUUGGGAGCUAUUUCCAAAAUGGAAGACUGGAAGACAGAAGAAUACCUAUGAGUACCCUCAUCCCAAAGUCCAGCCAUGCUAAAAUACUUACCUUGGACAUAAGCUAAGCUUUAAGUUUGUUGUUUAUAACUUCAAAGAGAGACAAGGGACAGUGACUUAAGAAUAUUCUAAGCUAUAAAUUUACAUGUGGACUUUGCUACACACCUGGGAUGCAGCCAGAUGAGUUUUGUUCCAUUGCAGUACAUCUGAUGACCAGAAUUCUAUCAGAGAAUGUUAAUGAACGAAAAGCCUGAGCUUUAAGACUGAGAUUGGUACCACGGGUAGUCAUGGCCACCUGCUGGCAGCGUAGGGUACUGCAGCCCAGCUAUGGUUCAGACUAAAAGCCGAGAAACGCCUGUGGUCCAGGGAAAGGUAUGAAGAUCAUAUAAACCGGCGGUGGACAGGAAAUGCCACAGUCAAGAAGAUGCCCCUGGGAUGCUGAGCUCUUACAACUCGAAAUCAACAGCUUUUACAAAUAAAACCGCUGCAAAAGCAAUAGCUCUUACAA
rnacentral:lncRNA from 10 species